rnacentral:lncRNA from 1 species
AAAUGAAAAUAGCUUUGAUGUUGUUUUUCCUAAGGGGUGAUGUGUUGGGUCACUAAGACACCCCUUUAAGCACUACAUUUUUGGAGCUCAUUCAAUCAGUAUGAACAAUCAAAUGGGCCAUGACCAGCAGGUCAUCAUCUGUAUUAUUCCAAGGUAGGUUGCUCCCAUUUUGAAAGGCUAUUAAUCAAAUCAAUCAUAUGUGAAAGCUUGGCUGCAAGUACCAAAUGCUUGAAACAAAAAAAUCUUUCAGUAUAAGAAAAUGAGCAGGAAUCAAGGUAAGACCCAAGUGCAGACUGUGUGAAGUUACAAUGUUUAUUGUAACCACAGGGGCAGACAAACGACAGGUCAAGGCAGGCAGGGGUCGAUAAUCCAGAGUAGGAGCAAAGGUACAGGAUGGCAAGCAGGCUCAGGGACAGGCAGAGUUCAGUAAUCCAGAGGGGGAGUAAAGGUACAGGACGGCAGGCAGGCUCAGGCAGAGUGGUCAGGCAGGCAGGGUCAGGAUAGGCAAGGGUCAAAAACCAGGAGGAUGAGAAAAGGAGAGGCUGGGACAAUACAGGUUGCUGACAGGACGAACACUGGUAAGCUUGACAAAUAAGACGAACUGGCACAGACAGACAGAAAACACAGGUAUAAAUACCCAGAGGAUAAGUGGGGAAGAUGGGCGACACCUGGAGGGGGUGGAGACGAGCACAAGGACAGGUGAAACAGAUCAGGGCGUGACAAAAAUUGGAACAUAAUUAUGUUUAUAUGGUGCAUGGGGUUCCAAUGGUACAUUUGUUAUAUUAGCACCCCCUUCAGAUCAAUUUCCCCAAAAUGUAGGAACUCCAGUCAGGGUCUCUGUUGCGAGUUAGAAUAGUAGAAUACACAUGGUGCAUUUUCAACAUUUGGUUUUGCAUAAGCAGUUUUACUCUGUCAGUUAUUGGUAGUCAGUCAAUUAGCCCAUGUCAGCUAAUUUCUUUUUAUUGCUAAGUUAGUUUAGCGGCCAGUUAUCUAAACUUGUUAUCAUGGUCGAAAUAUCGGCCGGGGGGCCCCCAUUGAUUUUGUUAGUCAGUCUCACUAUUGAUACACCAGUGUGUCAGUCUAAGUAACAUAAUACAAAAAUUCACAUCAAAAUCUGUGAGUUUAAGCUAGAGAUCAUGUUUUUUGCAAGGGCUGCAUCUCAAUCCACCACAUCCUCCUGUGUCGGCCUUCCGCAUCAAAGUCGGACACCUCCAUCAAAGUUGCCCUUCCCUGUACUAGCCUAUAAUAUGGGAAGGGGGCAAGUUAAUGUUAAUGUUAGUAUGAGUCAGCAUGAUUGAUGUUAUGAUAAUAAAAUAUAUAUAAUUAAAACAAGAUUGGAACCACAUGAAUAAGACAAAGAAAAUGACUGAAGGACACACAUUUAUUUGGUUUAGGCAUUGGAAUCUGAGCAUUGAAGAAAAGAGUAGAGAUGUACAGACAUAUUAAAAGCCUUUUAAACAAAUACAUCACCAUAUGUAGAGACUAAGCUGUAUUAUCCCAUGUGAUAAUUCCAAAGGUUUGUAUAGAAAUGUAUGAGUUUAACCCUGAGAAAAUGGAAUCUUAUAAGCAGCCAAGCAGCAAGACUUCUAUUCAGUUGUAACCUACCAGGGGGAAGAGGAGGAAAAAUAGGAGCUUUCAUAUUUCAACUAUGUGUGCGAGCGGACAGCAGCCUUAGAAUGAAUGAGCAAUGAAGACAGAAAAGAGUUGACACACUCUUAUGUCUCUUAAAAUGUAUCGGGCAAUUGAACUCCUGGACACUUUGUAUUUUUUCAUCCACCAUGGAUGACCAGAAUGCCAAUGAGGGUAAGGCAGGCACUGUAAGAGUGCCUGAGUGAGUAUAAUAGUGUGUGAAACUUGUGUAUGGGUUUUUUUCUUAAAUAGUCUCAAGAAAACAUUGUGUCACCAAGAUGGCCAACUUGUUCUAUUUUACAAGGUUACGAGAUAAUGAGCCAGACAGCUCAAUUCAUUUAACUUCUGUGUGAACAUGGUGACAGAAGCACGGCAUUCUUGAGUUAAUUUAUGUAAUUCUGUGUCUUGAAAUAAUUAAAUAAAUACAUCUGUAAUGAAGUUUGCUUUUUAUACCACACGGCCUGUGAAAUGAUCAAUACAAACACAUGCAGAAAAUCAGACAGCUUGGUCUCCGUCUAUGGCUACAGCUUUCAAACACAUUAUGUUAGUCACUUACUUUCUU